CCUACGGGAGGCAGCAGUGAGGAAUAUUGGUCAAUGGACGAGAGUCUGAACCAGCCAAGUAGCGUGAAGGAUGACUGCCCUAUGGGUUGUAAACUUCUUUUAUAUGGGAAUAAAACGUUCCACGUGUGGGAUUUUGUAUGUACCAUAUGAAUAAGGAUCGGCUAACUCCGUGCCAGCAGCCGCGGUAAUACGGAGGAUCCGAGCGUUAUCCGGAUUUAUUGGGUUUAAAGGGUGCGUAGGUGGAUUGUUAAGUCAGUUGUGAAAGUUUGCGGCUCAACCGUAAAAUUGCAGUUGAAACUGGCAGUCUUGAGUACAGUAGAGGUGGGCGGAAUUCGUGGUGUAGCGGUGAAAUGCUUAGAUAUCACGAAGAACUCCGAUUGCGAAGGCAGUUCACUGGACUGCAACUGACACUGAGGCUCGAAAGUGUGGGUAUCAAACAGGAUUAGAUACCCGAGUAGUC
rnacentral:rRNA from 1 species